rnacentral:rRNA from 1 species
UUGAACGCUGGCGGCAUGCUUUACACAUGCAAGUCGAACGGCAGCGGGGGCUUCGGCCUGCCGGCGAGUGGCGAACGGGUGAGUAAUGCAUCGGAACGUACCCUGUCGUGGGGGAUAACACAGCGAAAGCUGUGCUAAUACCGCAUACGACCUGAGGGUGAAAGCGGGGGAUCGCAAGACCUCGCGCGAUAGGAGCGGCCGAUAUCGGAUUAGCUUGUUGGUGAGGUAAAGGCUCACCAAGGCGACGAUCCGUAGCUGGUCUGAGAGGACGACCAGCCACACUGGAACUGAGACACGGUCCAGACUCCUACGGGAGGCAGCAGUGGGGAAUUUUGGACAAUGGGGGCAACCCUGAUCCAGCCAUUCCGCGUGAGUGAAGAAGGCCUUCGGGUUGUAAAGCUCUUUCAGCAGGAACGAAACGGUGGCUACUAAUACUAGCUACUAAUGACGGUACCUGAAGAAGAAGCACCGGCUAACUACGU